CAACUGAUUGCCUCCCUCACAUGCCUGGACUGGGAGCCAGGGAUUGAACCUGCAACUCAGGUACGUGCCCUUGUCUGAGAAUUGCACCCCAGAGCCUUCGAUGCACAGGCUGGCACUGUAACCAUGGAGCAACCCUGGCCAGGGCAAGUUACAGACUGGACUUCACUUCUACUUUACAAAUCUGGCACAAGCUCUUCAUAUGACCAGCUGUGACUGGACCACAGGGGCAAGGGUAUUCUGUUAAACGGGAGUUCCCAGCAACCACGUUGACAGUAGUACCAUCAGUAUGCUCAAUGAUCAAGAAUGACUGCAUCUGCAGGACUGCUACUGAGAAUUCCUGGAUUCUCUCCUCUGCCCUUAAAAGACUUCUUCCCUCUCUGAAUCAUGGGACUGAAAUAACAGGAUUUGGGAAUCUUGCCUUGGCCAGGCCAAAAAUCACUGAGAGGCGAUUGUGCCCAGGAAGCAAACUGAAUUUACAGGAUGCUUCAGGGAUUUCAAAAAGGACCAAUCUCAAAACUGCAUGCUAACACAUGAACUGAGUUCAUUUUACUUAAUCAUGGCUGCAAUGCAUGGAUUAUUCUUUCUCUGCCAGUGUUGAUGGCAGGAGUUUCUUUACAUUCUUUCUGUGUGGUGUGAUGGAGAAGACGCUUGGCUUAUGAGCUAGGAAUGAGGUUUUAAACAACAUGAAGCCACACAGAACAUUUUCCCAUCAAAUUCGUAGAGUAGCAUAAUCUCCCUUCCUCUUUAUCCCCUCCAAAAUUCAUCGAAAUGUUAUCUAUGAAUGCUGGAGAGACUGUGGGCUAAGAAUGGUUUUCACAUUUUGAAAUGGUUAAAAAAAUAGAGAAGAAUGUUUAUUCAUGUGAAAAUGAUAUGAAAUUCAAAUGUCGGUGUCCAUCAAUAAAGUUUUAUUGGAACCCAGCCGCAUUCA